UAUAGUAAUGUGAAUUGCAGAAUUCAGUGAAUCAUCGAAUCUUUGAACGCACCUUGCGCUCCUUGGUAUUCCGAGGAGCAUGCCUGUUUGAGUGUCAU
rnacentral:rRNA from 1 species